GACGAACGCUGGCGGCGCGCCUAACACAUGCAAGUCGAACGAGAGAUGAGGAGCUUGCUCUUCAAAUCGAGUGGCGAACGGGUGAGUAACGCGUGAGGAACCUGCCUCAAAGAGGGGGACAACAGUUGGAAACGACUGCUAAUACCGCAUAAGCCCACGGCUCGGCAUCGAGCAGAGGGAAAAGGAGCAAUCCGCUUUGAGAUGGCCUCGCGUCCGAUUAGCUAGUUGGUGAGGUAAUGGCCCACCAAGGCGACGAUCGGUAGCCGGACUGAGAGGUUGAACGGCCACAUUGGGACUGAGACACGGCCCAGACUCCUACGGGAGGCAGCAGUGGGGAAUAUUGCACAAUGGGGGAAACCCUGAUGCAGCGACGCCGCGUGGAGGAAGAAGGUCUUCGGAUUGUAAACUCCUGUUGUUGAGGAAGAUAAUGACG
rnacentral:rRNA from 1 species